GACGAACCGUCCUAACGUUGUUCGGAAUCACUGGGCUUAAAGGGCGCGUAGGCGGGCUCUCAAGUCCGGGGUGAAAUCUUUCGGCUCAACCGGAAAAUAGCCUUGGAUACUGGGAGUCUCGAGCGAGGUAGGGGCGGGUGGAACUUCCGGUGGAGCGGUGAAAUGCGUUGAUAUCGGAAGGAACGCCGGUGGCGAAAGCGACCCGCUGGACCUCUUCUGACGCUGAGGCGCGAAAGCCAGGGGAGCAAACGGG
rnacentral:rRNA from 2 species